GUUCAGCUUACAGAAUAAAGCCAAUACCCAUAUAGUUGAAAUACUCUGGUACUGGAACAAAGCUGAAGAUAAGAGACUGUGCAGAGGACACUGAAAAUACAAAGUGACUGACGUGUGAGAGUUUGGAGUUUGGUGGGACCUACUGUGCUCAGGGAAAAUCAUUUAACAUGCUCAGUCUUAGCUAUCCCAUCUACAAAAUGGGGGUGGAUACGUUUUAAUUUCCUUCUCUAAAGUUUGAAACAUUGCCAAUUUGAUAUAUUCUGUAGCACACAGAAGGCAGAGGUCUGCCAAUUUUCAUUACUGUUGCUGAGCUCCCUGAGGGCAGGGACUGGGUGGUCUGGGCACUACCAUCCCUGGGGCCUGACGGUCUGGUGCAGGUGGGAGGGGCCUGUAAAUGUUGACUGAUGAAUGUUUACCAUGGUAUUUUGGCCUUCCUCUAAUAAUGUUAGAAAGUUUAUACGAAUUAGGAUUGCUUUGAUGUUAGGUUUGAUAUCUGAAACUACUUAUGAAUUAUAAUUCAUAUGUAUGAAAUCUGUUUCUGUUAGAGAGCUAUUUUGGAAUGUGAGUUUAUUGCUGAAAACCAGUAUUUUGUAACAGAAAGAAGGUUCCAUAGAAUAUUCCAGAGAUCUGUUGCCUGACAGUCUUGCCUUCCCUCCAUUUUCCUGUGACUGAAACAGAAGUUCAAAUGAAAAGCUCUCUUAUCCUAGAAUGGCUUUCUUCUUAGGAUGCAUUGACUCCUUGGAUCCUUACAAGUUGUGGAUGUUCCUCUUAGAAAUAAAGCCAUUCCUGCUCCUGACCCUAAUACAUGUCCAUGGAAUUGGUCAUCUCCAAACAUCAUCAUCAUCAUCAUCUUCAUCAUAGCUACAAUUAAUUGGCAGUUCCGGGAGAAGGCUGCAAGGCUAAAACAAACUUUUAUCUAGCAUAAUUUUAUCUAGCAUAACCUGUGCACUUUGAGGGUAGAGAGGACCUCGCUGUCUGCCUCCCUAACAAAUGGCUGUAUUAAAGGAGGCAGUACUUUUAAAAAAACUUUACACAAAAUAUUUAUAUAUUAUGUCCUCUUAAAUGAGUGAUGAUUAAGUAAAUCCAGUUAAUUGACAGUAGCUGUCUGAGGAAGUAUUAAAAGGAAUAUGAUGCUUUUGUAGAGGCUUAGGAGGAAAAAAAAAAUGCCAGGACUCUUGGGCAACCUUUGCUAUGGAUAUGGGGUAGGAUUGGAGAGGGAAAUGGAAACACAGGUACUUAUUGGCUGUUAUCCCUGUUUUAAAUGCAGCCCUUGGUAUUCACUCAACCUUGAUUUACCUAUAAAAGAAUGGCUCACUCAGCCAGGCUGCCUACAGGAGGACUUGAUCUUCAAUGUACCCAGUACAGAAAUUGCUUACAGCUUGUAGUGAGAAAUGACCUGUAGCUGCAGCAUCUAUCUAUUCAAAUGUGGUCUUGCAGUAAAGGUAGCUCUUUAUCAAUCUGCUUUAGCACGUCUGUUUCAGAACUACAGUUUCAGAAUGAAGUGACUGCAGGACUAAGCCUUCUAAAAGACAGGCUUUAAAUUGGCUGUCAGGGAUCUUAUAUAUGUCGGCAGUUAGACUGUGAAUAUAAAAAAAGACUAAUCAUGUUCAUGCUAGUAGCCAGUCCAUGACACAGGUGAUCUAGAUUGUGGUCAUCUGAAUGGUCCAUUCAGAACACUGUACCAUUGAUCAUAAAUACAGCAUGAUCACAAGAUGAAUCUGA